rnacentral:lncRNA from 1 species
AAAAUUUCAUAAGGUUUCAUUAACUACAAUCGUGAAUCAGAAACCUUCGCACCUCUUCACGAUUUCAAACGAAUCAAUAAUAUUGCCGCCAUCGUUCAAUCACCUUUGAGUUUUUUUUCAAUCGAUCUUCGUUCUCAGAACAAAGUUCAGUCAGGUAGAUUCGUUCACAGAUCUGUCUAAUUUCAUUCUCGUUAGGUUUCAGAUUUUACUCACAGAUUCACGUGUUCAUCAUGUUGU